rnacentral:lncRNA from 1 species
UGCUGACCUGAACUGUUUAAUUAGGUGACGAAGUCACCCUCUGCCUUUUGGGUUCUGCAAUAGUCCACUUCUCAGGGUCCUCAGCAGCCCUGGAAAGUGUCCCCAGGAUAGGCAGUAUCCUCAUCGAUAGGACACACAGGCCCAGGGCAAGGCCUAGUCUCUUUGAGCUUCUCUUUAUACCUUAGAAUCUGCAGGAAGUUACCAGGAUGGGCCAUUCAGGGGUUGAGAACAGAGAAAAGAGUCGCUCAGGUGAGGAGGCUGAGAUCAGGGCCAAAGGCAAUGGUUGCAGGUGCGAUAUGAAGCAAGGGACAAGGAUAUGAUACCCAGACCCAGUGCCCUGGCCUGAAAAUGGGCUUCAUGACACAAGGCCGGUCCCAGCAGAAGGGAGUUCUUAUAGUAGUAGCCCUGAGGGCAGUGAGCAUUCAGCUCAUCUGCUGUUAGAACUGGGGUCCAGAGGGUAGGUGAGCCCACCAUUCAGGGCUCUUCAGGAUUGAGGCUCUGAGGUGCCCUUAGCCUGCCUAGCCCUAAGGUUUCCUCCCUAUCUCUACUCCAACCCAACUGCUCAGCUGACUGUACCCUAAAUGCCCCCCUCACAAUGCCUCCUGUCCCACAAGCUAGCACGAUGUCUCUGCUCCAAAGACCAUCUUUAUCUGCCCACCUCUGUCCUCCAGGUCUGUGUUUCCAGAACUGGCAGCCCUCCUGACCCAGAAGAGGUUUCAGAGCAGCAUACCUGGGUCCCCUGGGGCCCGCUGAGCAGGAACAUCCAGCUGUUCGUGCAAUACAGGCACAUGCCAUGGCUCCACAUCUGUUCCCUUUAACUUGACAUCCCUCAGCCCAGGAAAUGGAGUGGUGGUGCACAAGCCUGGCCAAGAAGAAGCGAUUACACAUCUCCAGCACUCGAACUGAUUCGGGAGGAACUGACUAGUCCCUUGCCGUACAAACAGCAAUCGUAAGUCCCUGAGGAGGCUUAUGAUAAAUAAUCCCCCAUAAUCCC